GCUUCCGUGGUGUAGUUGGUUAUCACGUAUGCUUCACACGCAUAAGGUCUCCGGUUCGAUCCCGGACGGAAGCA
rnacentral:tRNA from 1 species